AAUAACCAGAAACCACUUCAACCACCUGACCCCGGGCAAAAACGAAAAACCGUGUCUCGAGACUGAGAGAUGAGAAAAAGUCUGGACUUGAGAUGGAAACUGUAAACAAUCACAGCAGAGAAGACCUGACAAUGGCUUGACGAGGAGUGGAGGUAACGCAGCACACCCUGGGGCGAGCAGACGUGUAAUGUUAAGGCACUAACUACAGACUGAAUGGACACACACAGCAGAGCGAGACGUUCAUGUGUGAAAUGAGAUCUGUGCACAAUCAGUGGGAGUCGCAGUCAUAAAAGUGCAUCAAGCUUUUCUGCUUUAAGAUGAACCCAUUCAUGGACAACCAAACAUGAAAUGUGACAGCAGCAGACAUUUCCAACCCUUCUGCUUCUUCUUGUCCUUGUAGCCCGAGGAUGCCAAUCUGUCUGAGGGUCGGUCCUACAUGCAUCAAACCAGAACCCUCUGAUGCCCUCCCUCUCCUUUUCCCCUCCUGUUUCUGUCUCUCCGGUCCAUGGGCCUUCCUGCCCUGAAGCCAGACUGUGGCCACAAGAAGUGGACUGGUGGUCCCAGCAGGGGCCGACGCUCAGACACACCAUUAGCAUGAGGGAAUUAGAGUCAUUACAGCUGGAAGGGCAAUAGAGGACGAGUCCUUCGCUCUGCAGAAGAGGGACGGAGUUUGUGAAGUUGUGUGAAGAAGAUAAUAGAUAAAAUGAGAGGAUUUAAUAUUCACAUAGUUAAGAGAGGUGUAUCCAAUUUAAGGAUCAUUUUAUACAGUUUUCACAUGAAUGGUCCUGAUUCUGAAAAGGUAGAUUAAUGCUUCUGAACUGGCUUUUUAUUUUUCAUCAAGAUGAAGUCUAAAUUCAUAUUUCAGUGAUUUUACCAAAUAAUAGUCUCAUAACAAAGCUGCACUGAAGACAAUAAAUAGACAUAUUUGACAGAUUCCAAUGUCUUCUACCUUCCUUUGCAUUUUUCAUUCACAUUACCUUUGCUUAGAGCAUUUUGUUACCGUCACAGAUAAUUUGAACCUAUUCUGCAUUCUUUUCCAUGUCAUUGUUUAAACCAGACAUCAGAUUGUAGCUCUGAAAACUAACAGCACCACUUAAUUUCAUACAUAUCCAAAAUAUGAACCCCAACUAUCCUGUACAAUACAAUAAUAUAUUAGUUUUUUUUCCCCAAUUUGCUGCGGAUUUACUUAUUUAACUUUUUAAUCCAUGCCCACUGUGUUUGAAAGGAAGAAUUUUCUCAGUGUGACCCUCUAAAGUGGAGCCACAUCUGUCGAGUGGAUUCUCCUCCAUGAACGUGACCCUGCCUUUGAGUCUCCAUCAUCUCAUUAACUACAGCCAGGAUGCCUGGGCGGUGUCCAUUAUCUUUACACAUGCAGAAUAGGAGUUAAAACUGGAGGAUGGACCCAGUAAUUAUCUGCUUUUUAAGCAAGGUCAGCAUGCCGACUCUGACUCCACUGGUCACUUUGUAACAGACACACACUGUACACGCAAGUACACACACUGAGAAGUAAUGGCUUUUCUUUGUCUACUCAUUGCAAUUAAAAAUCUCAUUUCCAUUUAAGAAAAUGUGCAAAAUAAGGCAAUAACAAUGAAAACCCAGUAUGUGAGAUCACUGAGAUAAUGAAGAGGCAAAAGUGGGAAACAAAAAAUCCAUUCUAACAGUUCUUUUUUCCUGUUGGCUUAACAUGUAAAUUUAGUUUCCAUUAACUUACAAAUGACUGUCUUUUGCUCAUUAGUGAGGAGCCACAGUGCAAAUGAUUCCUCCAUGUUUUAUUAUGUUUCUCUUAGAUUGAAUUACACAUCAAGACUCGAGUUCUAGCUCUAAAGUAAAUAAAAAUCUUCUUCUAAAUAUAGUAAGCACUUUUUUUCCCCGAAAUGAACUGAUCAUGAACAAGAAUCCACUCAUAUUGCAUCACUCUGUGUGCCGCAAGAUGCACUAAUGAUUCUUUAAUUAGACUUAACCUUCACUCCUCCCCCACCUCUGAUGCACACGAUGAUGAGGACUUAUUUAGUUUGAGAAUACAACAUUCCUUAAGCGUGAACUGCAGUCAAAUAUCCACCAUGAAUGUACAAACACAUAGACUCACCGCUCAUAGUAUGUGUCGGGUGUUAGAAGACUUUGACUAAUACUGUAUAUCAGUUGGAUAAUUUGCUCUUAAUGUAUAAAAAAUUUAAAUGUAUUGUCUGUUUUCAUGCCAUUAGUGAGAAAAAAAGUUGUACAAAGUCAAUCUGGGGAUGAGGCGUGAGAAAGAAGUGACCUCUGCUGCCUGCUCCUCAUCUGACCUCGACUUGAGACUAGCAGUGUGAUGCGAGAUCAGCUGCUACUAUCAGAACAUAUCUGAACUGUUAGUAGUCAUAUAGCAUUAUGGACAGUAAGAAAGAAAAAUGUGCGGAAUGAAAAAGACAACAUCUGCUUCUGUUGCAUCAAUAUUAAUCCUUUUUUUAAAAAACUGCCCAUCCUGAUGGUUGGUACAAUGCUUGCAAAUGUAGGACUCAUUUAAUGUGUCAGAAGUAGAAGAGUUAAAUUAGGUGUGUGAUGAAUGAGUGGUGGUGAUCACUGAUUGCAUCACUUUUAAACACAAUGCUAUCAUCUAAAUGUUGUUUUUUAGGAUUUUUCACCAAGAAUGAAAAACAAAACUUAUUUUAAAGAGGACAAAACAUCAUGUAGUAGGAAAUAUUAGCAGAUGUAGUGACAUCUAAGUGGGUAUCAGGUUUGUUUUACAGAAAUUGACGCAAAUGACCUAUGUCAUGAACCAUGUAUUAAUAAAUCUGUCGGCUAUCUGUUCCUAUGACAUAUACAGACCUUCACUUUGACUUUUAAUGAAUUUUAAGAUACAGAUGUAAGUUAGACAUAUAUUUCUGAUGCUCUUUUAACCACAUUACCCUUUGUCGCAGUUUAAAUAUCAAAAUCUUUCCAAGAUAAAUGUUGUUUUUUUAUUGCUAGUCGACUCACUUUUAGCAUCAUGAUCAUGAUCAUCACCAUCAUCAUCAUCAUCAUCAUCAUCAUCAUCAUCAUCAUCAGAUCAUCUAGACAGCCAUCCCAUGCAGGUGUGUGUUUCUAUAGAUUCUCUCCAGGGCAAAGGAAUGAUAGCAAGAGCAUCAGAAAACUCAUGAUGCUGCAGUCUGACUAAUGUGAGAUACCAUCAUCAACAGCACUCAGCAAUAUCUCACACCUGCAUCAUCAGGAGUGCAGUGCAAGGCUGACAAUAUUAGCGGUUUUAAUUAGAAAAGGCAAUCAUUUUGCGAGAUCCUGCAUUUAAGUUAGACUAAAUGUAUUGUACAAUAAUAACAAAAAUGCUUCUAGAUGUGAGAGUUUCAAAACUUAAGGCCUUCCAAUGAACUUUUCCUCUCAUGCUGCUGAGACUCAGAUCUAGGACACACCACUUGUGACCUCUUUUUCAGUUUCCUGGGAUGUAUCCCCCAAACCUAAUCCCUGUUUCUUUAAAAUGUGUCUGUGAUCUGAAGUAGUGCAUGUUGAUUAAGAGUGUGAGAUUUCUUCAGAUCUACAGCACUGGAGGUGCUCCUCAUUCUUUGAAAGAAAAGCAAACAAUCCUCUAAUGCCACUUUAAUUUCUGCCCCGUCCCCUCCCCUCCCCUCCCCUCCCUUCCCUCUGUUUCCCCCCCUAAAACAUCCACUAAUAAUCAUCUCUGUGCCUCAUUAAGGAGCAGAGGAGUGGAGACACAGGCUGCUCCAGAUGUUUGGUGGAAAGCCCCUCAGGUCUGUGUCAGAGAACUUGUGUGUAUCCGAUGUAGCACGCUCUCUAUGAAGUGUGCAGGAGUGUGUGUGAAGCACCAUUAUAAAUCUGCAAGUUUCAGACUUCCUGUGCCGUCUCAAGGCGUCACUCUGAGUGCUCCACUGCCCCAGUUCCAAAGCAAGUGAAGACAACGAGGGGUGAGAUGUACCGUAUGAGGACGCUAGAUGGAGAUGCGGACAAACUUUGCCAUCUCUGCACAAUUUUACAAUCAGUCUCUUUGUCUGCUGAGGUUGUCACAGCGAGUGAUGGCUGCAGGUCCAGACGCUCAUUUAGAAAUAUAAGCGUUUACUUCAGACUAUCACAGUCACAAUUCUCCAUUCUUGUUAUUCUGGAUGUGAUCAAUUGGUUUCUUCAAUGGCUUGCUGAUUGCAAAUCUGAUUAGUUAAUUGUCAUUACAUUGGCUGCUAUUAUCAUCUAAAUGCCUUCAUAUAUGAAGAACACAGUGAGUCUGUUUUAGCAAUCACUGUAUUACAAAAAUACAGUCUUACAGUCUUCUAGCUAAUUCAGCUUUUCCCAUUAUUGGCAAUAGUAAUAGUAAUAUUCCUUCAUGAGAACUUGAUUGUUCGGAAAUAAUCAAAACUGUAAACGUUAUUGUAGUUCCUGUAUUAGUUAUUUUGCUCCACAACACUGCCCCACUUUAUCAUCUUCAGCUUGUGGCUGAAUAAUUCACGCUGCCUUUUGUGACAUCAAAGUGAAUGAAACAUGAGGAAAAACGAUGAGACUAUUACUCACUUGCCACAGUCCCCAAAGUGUCAUCAUAUCUGGUAACUCAAGUAUCAAGUGUGGCAGCAACAGCAGGCAGCAGGGCAGAGCCAGAAAAUUAAUAAUAAAUCUUCCUGUUGUGUUUCUCAAACAUUUAUCUUUCUGCAGAUCCCACAGUGGGGAAAAUGCAAGCAGAGCUGCUCACUGAUGAAAUGUAAGCACAAGAGGGGAAAAAAAAAGAACAGUAAAACGAUGGAGGCAAUUGUUAAAAGAAUCGUUGUUUUUGUUGGUUUGCCUGAUAUUUUGUCACUUUCUCUUUCAUGCACGGAUGCAAACCGUCCUUGGAAAGACCAGAUUAUUAGUGAUGUAUCGGCCUUUUUUUACUUAGGAUAUUUGUAAUACAGGAAAACAAAGAUGCAAAUGAUCUAAUAAAGAAUUGCUGAGAUUCAUUUAGCAUUUUCAGUAUCCUGGUACUGUGCAUGCCGGUUUACUGUCACUGCUACGGCUCACUUUUGACAUUUGAACAGGACAAAGCCUGGGUCUUUUCUGACAAUGACAAGUUCAAAUGCUAGUUCGGCUGUAUGAGCAUUAUUUCUACUGAAUAGCAUGAGUGUAUGUGUGCAUGUGCUGAAGUUUUAAAGAGUAUCCACGGCCCUCCACAUCUGUUCAGCCGUCAGCUCAGCAGCCCUGGAUUCAUAGCUGUAUCACAAUAUCAUCCGUAAAGGCCCAUUUUACACCUCUGUAACAAAUUCAUCUGACAGCAACAAAGGUCUCAGCUUGCAGUGUUACAGUAUGUAUUUCAAUUUACAAUACACUACAGAGAAGGUCAGUAGAACAAGAUAACUCCACGCUGGAAAGGAACAAGGUGUUGUCAGACUAAUUAGCCUUCUGCCGGCCUCUUAAGCAGCAUCAGUUUUAACAGAGAGAAAUGUAGAAUGAGGGUGAAAUGUAAUUAAAUGUUGGUGUGUAGCUCAGCAGGAAUCAGAAUAAUUUGUGUAAUAAGAUGUAACUGGACUGUCCCUGUGGUUUGGUGGUCUAAGAGACUGGUAAUCAUAAAGCUCCUGACAGAAAA